CAGCUCCUGUGGCCUCAAGGUGAUUCCUGAAUCUCCUCACGUAGGUGUCCAUUUCCUGACUUGGAAAAAUGGAAGGUGGGCACUUUACCUUGUUGACUGGGCUGCCAGUAAGCUCAGGGUACUAGGGUGGCUUAGCAUAGGCUGCGACUGUCCUUAGAGAAGUGGGACUGCUUCCUCCUCAUCAAUCUGUCCUUCAGUUCAGUCUCUCAGUCGUGCCCAACUCUUGCGACCCCAUGGACUGCUGCGCGCCAGGCUUCCCUGUCCAUCACCAACUCCCGGAGUUUGCCUAAACUCAUGUCCAUCGAGUCAGUGAUGCCNNNNNNNNNNNNNNNNNNNNNNNNNNNNNNNNNNNNNNNNNNNNGCUCCUCCCCUUCCAAAUUCCCACAUCCCCACUCUCCUGCCAGGCCCGGGGCCAGCGGGUGGGGCUGGCUGGGGCCCAACUGGCCUUGCUCAACUUAUCCAGCCUUUCCUGUGUCUUGCCCUGGCCAAGGCUUGGAUUCUGCUGGGCUCUAUCGGGACACACCCUGUGCCGGUUGCUGGGCUGGGGGAGGGAUGGCAAGAGUGGGCCCCUGCUUCAAAGUGCUCUCGACCAAGAGGAGGAGGGAGCCGGGAGGUGACACCCCAGGCCAGCAGUUGCAGGGAUGGCUUUGAGAGCUGUGGGGUUUCCCCAAGCUGGAGUAGACUUUCUGGGAAAACCCCCUGGAGGACUUCGGGUGGCUUGGGACUGCAAACGGAGGUAACCUGACUGCAGGGUUAAGGCACCACUGCAAACCAGCAGGACGGUGGCAGCUCCAGGUGGGGCUUUUAGUCUGGCAGAGGACUGGAUCGUGGGAAACUCGGGUUCUUGGGCCUCCAGGAGGCAGGAAGACUAGCUUUGGGGCCACUGAAAAGACCAAGAGGGGAAGACCCGGGGGGAGCCCUGGGGACUUCUCAGAGCAAGCCGGUGGUCUCCAUCGGCCUCAGUUGAACGUUUCUGUCCCAGUCAGCAGCAAUCUUCCACCCUGGACGGCCAGAGAGUCCAGUGGUACUGGUGGGGCUGGCAGGAUGGUCGUCACAGCUUUGUCACAGUGGCCCCGUUAAACUGCCCCCA
rnacentral:lncRNA from 1 species